rnacentral:rRNA from 1 species
GCCAGACUCCUACGGGAGGCAGCAGUGGGGAAUAUUGCACAAUGGGGGAAACCCUGAUGCAGCGACGCCGCGUGAGUGAAGAAGUAUCUCGGUACGUAAAGCUCUAUCAGCAGGGAAGAUAAUGACGGUACCUGACCAAGAAGCCCCGGCUAACUACGUGCCAGCAGCCGCGGUAAUACGUAGGGGGCAAGCGUUAUCCGGAUUUACUGGGUGUAAAGGGAGCGUAGACGGCAGCACAAGUCUGGAGUGAAAUCCCGGGGCUUAACCCCGGAACUGCUUUGGAAACUGUGCAGCUAGAGUGCAGGAGAGGUAAGUGGAAUUCCUAGUGUAGCGGUGAAAUGCGUAGAUAUUAGGAGGAACACCAGUGGCGAAGGCGGCUUACUAAACUGUGACUGACAUUGAUGCUCGAAAGUGUGGGUAUCAAACAGGAUUAGAUACCCGUGUAGC